rnacentral:rRNA from 1 species
AUUGAACGCUGGCGGCAGGCCUAACACAUGCAAGUCGAGCGAGCGGCGGACGGGUGAGUAAUGUCUGGGAAACUGCCUGAUGGAGGGGGAUAACUACUGGAAACGGUAGCUAAUACCGCAUACCAUCAGAUCUGCCCAGAUGGGAUUAGCUGGUUGGUUGGGUAACGGGUCACCUAGGCGACGAUCCCUACCUGGUCUGAGAGGAUGACCAGCCACGCUGGAACUGAGACACGGUCCAGAGUCCUACGGGAGGCAGCAGUAGGGAAUAUUGCGCAAUGGGCGCAAGCCUGAUGGAGCCAUGCCGCGUGAGUGAAGAAGGUCUUCGGGUUGUAAAGCACUGUCAGCAGGGAGGCGUUACCCGCAGAGAAAGCCCCGGCUAACUCCGUGCCAGCCGCCGCGGUAAUAC